GACGAACGCUGGCGGCAUGCCUAAUACAUGCAAGUCGAACGCUGAAGCACUCUGCUUGCAGAGUGCGGAUGAGUGGCGAACGGGUGAGUAACACGUGGGAAAUCUGCCUAGGAGUGGGGGAUAACAUUCGGAAACGGAUGCUAAUACCGCAUAUCUUUUUGAACCGCAUGGUUCUUAAACGAAAGACGGCUUCGGCUGUCGCUCUUAGAUGAUCCCGCGGCGUAUUAGUUAGUUGGUGGGGUAAAGGCCUACCAAGACCAUGAUACGUAGCCGACCUGAGAGGGUGAUCGGCCACACUGGGACUGAGACACGGCCCAGACUCCUACGGGAGGCAGCAGUGGGGAAUCUUCCGCAAUGGGCGAAAGCCUGACGGAGCAACGCCGCGUGAGUGAAGAAGGUCUUCGGAUCGUAAAGCUCUGUUGUUGGUGAAGAAGGAUAGAGGUAGUAACUGGCCUUUAUUUGACGGUAAUCAACCAGAAAGUC
rnacentral:rRNA from 1 species